AAAAAGGUAAUUUCUCAAGCUUAUCUUCACGACAUCUCCAAGUCCUUUUGGUUGUUAGAGCAAACAAGGUAAUUUGACAAAUACAACAUACUAUGCAAGUAUGCACCAUACCACACAUCCCAUGAAAAGUGUGGCCAAAUCAUGAACAAUGAUGCCAUCACCUAUGCUGCUGCCUGUACCAUUACCAUCUUCUUUGAUGAAUAACAUUUCCACUCACAAUUCAAUCUUGUGUUGUGACUUUAAAGAUGUGAAUUUGAGCAACCAAAGAGGUACAAGCCUUUUGUGUUCAGCAAGGAGGCAAAUUAGAUACCAAGAUGGGGAUGAUGCAGAUAGUGAUGAAGAGUAUGGGCACAAUGAGCAGAUUUCUAAGUUGGAGUCUUAUAGUCAAUCAGCAAAAGGAGAAGUACUCGUUGUGCAUGCACUUGUGGACCAGGAGAAGUUGAUGUGCUUAUCUUCAAGGCACUUAUUGAUGAAGCUCUCCCUCCGUGACUCUGAUCACUGUCAUGUGCUGUCAUUUAGAUCGUGUCCGUGCCGCUCCAGCUUCGUACCCUGACCGUAUAUACCUCACUAACGUCGUGCCCUGACUAAGAUCGUACCCUGAUUGUGUCACCCCACCGUUGAAGGUUAAUUAGGCAAGUUUGUGAAGUGCUGAUUUUCAUCUGCUCGCUAAGCCAAUCUGCUUGCUUAGCGAGCCAUCCACUCAGUGCACCAUUCCCUUGGCUGAGCAUGAGGAAGAAUCUGGAAGAAGGAUGAGCUGUGCAUGUUCGCUGAGCGAGGUCCCAUCCCGCUAAGCGCACCACUUGAGUCCAUCCACUGAGCGAGAAGACGCGCGCUAAGCCGAAAUUCACUAAUGCGCGCUAAGCGAUCUAGAGUUGCGCUAAGCGUGCAAGCACCAUCAAGGCCACCUAUUUAAGCUUGAAAUCAGAAAUAGGAGGGGGGUUUGGCCAUUUUCUUGAAGAGCUUCUGCAUGUGAGAGAUUCUAGAGAGAGAAGGGUCAGAGUCCAAAGAGUUUUGAGAGAUUUUGCUAUGCAAAGACCUGUAGAGAAUCGAGCUUGAAGAGGAAGUCGUCCUGAGAGCUUGAGAUGAGUUUGUGAGUGAUUGUGAGGUUCUAGAGGUGGAGGAGACAUCCU